CUGAAUGUAUGUACGCGACGCGCGACGUACGGUAUCCCAUCCCUACGCAAAUGUCAUUGACUUGUGUCUGCAUAUUGGCUGGCUGACGAUUCACGAUUGCACAUCGGUUCGUGCUACAAUAAAAAGCUUGUGAGCGCCGCUCAGGCCUUAAUUACGGUCCAACGGCCCAAACAUUUGGUCGCCACAUGUGUUAAUCACAAAAACUCUAACAAAACCCACUCCAAACGGACGUGGAACGAUAAAAAUCGUCGAUCUAAUCUAGCAGUAAAACAUAGUAUUUUAAUUAGAUAAAAUCGCGCUUUUGAGUAUUGUGAACGUUGUUAAUCACUUCCGUGGUGUCUGAGCGUGUGGCUGGUGCAUUUGUGAGCAGUUUUUUUGCUGUAAAAACAUGGUUAUCGAGAAAAUUUGUUGCUUGGGAGCUGGAUAUGUCGGCGGUCCUACGUGUAGUGUGAUAGCCCUGAAAUGCCCUAAUAUUCAAGUUACUGUUUGCGACAAGAGUGUUGAAAGAAUAAACCAGUGGAAUUCCGACAAAUUGCCGAUCUACGAGCCCGGGUUAGACGAUGUGGUCCGACAGUGCCGAGGUAGGAAUCUUUUUUUUUCUACGGACAUCGCGAAAAGUAUACAGGAGGCUGAUUUGAUAUUUAUAUCAGUCAAUACGCCUACUAAAACGUUUGGAAACGGCAAAGGCAGGGCUGCAGACUUAAAAUAUGUUGAAAGUGCAGCCCGUAUGAUCGCAGACUUGGCUACCAGUAACAAGAUUGUAGUUGAAAAGAGUACGGUGCCAGUUAAAGCAGCUGAAAUUAUUAUGAAAAUAUUGAGAGCGAACACUAAGCCGGGUGUCGAGUACCAGAUUCUGUCUAACCCUGAGUUUUUGGCUGAAGGAACUGCUAUCGUUGACUUGGUAGAGGCCGAGAGAGUGUUAAUCGGUGGUGAAGAUACUGCUGAUGGUCAGAAGGCUAUUAAAGAGCUGUGCUGGGUUUACGAGCAUUGGAUACCAGCUAAAAACAUACUUACCACCAACACUUGGAGUUCCGAACUGUCUAAGCUAGCCGCUAAUGCAUUCCUCGCCCAACGUAUAUCAAGUAUUAACUCUUUAUCUGCCGUCUGUGAGGCUACCGGUGCCGACGUGUCAGAGGUUGCAAGAGCUGUAGGCAGAGACUCUCGUAUUGGACCAAAAUUCCUUGAAGCGUCAAUAGGUUUCGGAGGCAGUUGCUUCCAGAAAGACAUUUUAAACCUUAUCUACUUGUGUGAAUGCCUAAAUUUGCCUGAAGUGGCCGCUUACUGGCAGCAAGUACUCAACUUAAAUGAUUAUCAGAAAGCUCGCUUCACUAGAAAAGUCAUCGAGUCACUAUUCAACACGGUAUCGGACAAGAAAAUAGCCAUACUCGGUUUUUCAUUCAAGAAAAAUACAGGAGACACGAGAGAAUCACCCGCUAUUCAUGUAUCAACAACUUUAUUAGACGAAGGGGCUAAACUACACAUAUAUGACCCUAAAGUAGAACCGGACCAGAUUUUCUACGAGCUCACAAGCCCAUAUGUAACAUCCGAACCGGAGAAAGUUAAAAGCAACGUUGAAAUCCAUGAUACCGCAUACUCGGCAGUAACAGGGGCUCAUGCUAUAGUUCUAUGUACCGAAUGGGACGAGUUUAAGAUGUUAGAUUUUAAGAAGAUAUACGAAGUGAUGAUGAAGCCUGCGUAUAUAUUCGAUGGAAGGAAGAUCUUGAAUCAUGAGGCGUUGCAGAAUAUCGGUUUUCAUGUGCAGACGAUUGGGAAGCGGUUGAGCAGAGCGGGCAGUAUACGUGCUCAAGGAAGUCAGACGAUGCCUUAAUGUACUGAAGUUCAGCUGGAUAAUAUAAGAGAAAAUGAAAAAGCAGCGUGGUACGAGCCAGAAUAUUAUAAUGCUAUGGAAUUAACUAUUUUAUAUAAUUAGUAUUAAGUCUAAAAAAAAAAACAAAUAUUCUUUGGUAUAAAAAAAAAUUAUAUGUUCCUAAUUUUCGAUUGCUGUAGAGUAGGAAUGAGUAAGUAAAUGACAUAUUUUUUUCUUUUUUUUUUAACUUUUUUCAAAAAUACAUGUAAAAAAUUAUUAGGUUAAGAAAACUACAUAGCAUUAUAGAAACUUAUUUUCCGGUUAACAAACUGAAAGUCUUUUAAAUAACAGCUCUCGGCAUCCAUUCGAAUCCCUAUCAUUAUUUGUGAACACACUUUUAAUAAUUAUUAUUUUAUAUUUUAUCCACUUUAGACCAUUAAUCGUCAGUAUUGGUUGAAUAUAUAUAUCUGUGAAAAAAGCUUGUAAAUCAUGAUUUUUUAAAACUGUUCCGGAGAGCACGUUACUGUCGGUGGUGCUUGUGAUCUCUCUCCGGUGGUGUCGGCUUGUCGUCGCAUUGCGCCAUGAGAGUGAAGGAAUAAUAUGUCCUGCACAGCUGGCUGAUUUUCGUGGCCGAAUAUACUAAC
rnacentral:misc_RNA from 1 species